AUUGAACGCUGGCGGCAGGCCUAACACAUGCAAGUCGAACGAGUGGCGGACGGGUGAGUAAUGUCUGGGAAACUGCCCGAUGGAGGGGGAUAACUACUGGAAACGGUAGCUAAUACCGCAUACCAUCAGAUGUGCCCAGAUGGGAUUAGCUUGUCGGUGCGGUAACGGCUCACCUAGGCGACGAUCCCUAGCUGGUCUGAGAGGAUGACCAGCCAAACUGGAACGGAGACACGGGCAAGGCGCCCACGGGAGGCAGCAGUGGGGAAUAUUGCACAAUGGGCGCAAGCCGGAUGCAGCGAUGCCGCGUGUAUGAAGAAGGCCUUCGGGUUGUAAAGUACUUUCAGCGGGGAGGCGUUACCCGCAGAAGAAGCACCGGCUAACUCCGUGCCAGCAGCCGCGGUAAUUC
rnacentral:rRNA from 1 species